rfam:Gossypium hirsutum cultivar TM-1 unplaced genomic scaffold scaffold373.1, whole genome shotgun sequence
AGCUCAUGGUGGAGGCAUCUACGACGCUAACUCCUUAAAUCUUUCCCAUGCCUCGUAUCAGGACUCAUCAUCCAUCUAUUGAAAAGUGGUGGUCUCAUUCUGCAACC